GAGAAAUUACACACAAGUGAUGAUGACAACUCAACUACAAGUAGCAACUCUUUCAAGUUAUUUCACUGAUUAAUGUGCAGCUAUAAUGGACCGUGCAUUUAAAUCACAAACCCAGGCGGCUACUAGCAACAGCAUUUACUCCAUGUAUGCC